rnacentral:rRNA from 1 species
UACGUAGGGUGCAGGCGUUAAUCGGAAUUACUGGGCGUAAAGCGUGCGCAGGCGGUUUUCUAAGACCGGUGUGAAAUCCCCGGGCUUAACCUGGGAACUGCGCUUGUAACUGGCAAGCUAGAGUGUGGCAGAGGGGGGUGGAAUUCCACGUGUAGCAGUGAAAUGCGUAGAGAUGUGGAGGAACACCGAUGGCGAAGGCAGGUCUCUGGGCUGACACUGACGCUCAUGCACGAAAGCGUGGGGAGCAAACAGG